UACGUAUGGGGCGAGCGUUGUUCGGAAUUAUUGGGCGUAAAGGGCGUCUAGGCGGGGAUUUAAGUUAGGUGUGAAAGCUAUGGGCUCAACCCAUAAACUGCAUCUAAAACUGGAUCUCUUGAGUUCGGGAGAGGAGAGCGGAAUUCCAGGUGUAGCGGUGAAAUGCGUAGAUAUCUGGAAGAACACCAGUGGCGAAGGCGGCUCUCUGGCCUAGAACUGACGCUGAAGCGCGAAAGCGUGGGGAGCGAACAGG
rnacentral:rRNA from 1 species